rnacentral:rRNA from 1 species
AUGAACGACAAACCAACCACAUGGAACAGUCAUCAAUGUGCCACAAAAUUUAACGGACAAAUUGCAGAUCCUCUUAUCAAAAGAAGAUGGACGGUGAUACUGUCCAUGGCACGAAGGUUGUUGCUCCAGGUAUAUAAUCCCGACACCCCAGAAUGGUAUGUGAAAUUAAAGACAACAGACGAUAUGCUGUUGCAUAAAAAGAAGAACUGGAACACUAGCAUUCUAUUUGAAGAUAACAACCUAGUUUUAUUUAAGAAACGUUUUUCGCAAACUGACGCUGCAAGACCCUCUAGUGAAUCUUUAUUUGCAUUUCAUGUAUAG